UGGAGUUUUGUUGUGUUCAUUAUAGUGCAAACAGACAAUAUAGUCUGAACAUGGCGGACACUUGUCAGUUAUACACUGUUUAGCCUUGCGUCCACAUCGCUCGGCUUGGAAGUAUCCUCAUCAUUCUUAGCAUGUUGGUGUUUGACACCGGAACGUUGUCUUCUUCCUGUUGUUUUAGGAUGAAGAAAAUAUUAACCACGUUCUUUAACUGGUUGAUUAACUAUUAUAUGCCGACCAUCUGAGCAUUGUAUACAGUUGCUCGCCACGUGCUCGUCCUGGACUGGCGGGGAUUCCCAGUCACCAGAGCAGGGGCUAUUGAGGUAGCCAAUCAGGUGUUGGGGAACAAUGCAAGUUACCAGACACCUUUCUGAACGUCACUAUUCCGAGCUUCCGGCUGUUCUUUCACGAGGAUCAGCCACUUCAUCUAAUGGGUUUCUCCCCUCUAUGAAGGGAAACAAGAGGUUUGUGUUUUUCUCCUCAAAGGUCACUUGAGGAUGGCUCCUUCCCCUUGGGAAAAGGGGGGGGGGGGGCAAGUUGAUGGGACUGGACAAUGUGUACCAAGUCCUAAGGAUUAAUGCUUUUUCAGUGUUUGGUCAUCAGGCACUCAGUGUUAUCUAACAGUUAUACUGGUAGGACAUUAGGUCACGAGAACUGACCUUCUUAGACUAUAACUGAUACUUCAGUUGAUACCUGUGCUGUCCAGAUACAGCUUUGGAGUCUGCAUAUUGUACUCUCCCUGAACAAGGUCGAGUCAGUGAGGUAUAAUUGGGGGUUAUGCUAAGAUGUACUUACCAUCUACAGUAUAAUCUGAAUUAUACCUCAUACGAGACCUUGUUCAGGUAUAUCUUCCCACCCUCAGUAACUUAUGUUCAGCUGCAGGGAUUUAGUGAACAUUACCCACCCAUGGACAGCACAGACUUAUUUA